CGAUCCCUAGUGGGAAAUAAUAAAUAAAUAGUGGGAUCUACGCCUUAAUUCAGGAUACGGGAUACAUUAUUCGUAGCGUAAACAGUACCAAGACAAUGCAACAUUUCUCCCCGCUCUGUCUGCCAUAAUAGUCAUUAUUAGAAUUUCGAGUUGCGGUCAAUUUACGCAUCGGAAUAAAAACUAUUGUUAUCCUUCUCCAUGGUUCAGGCUAUUUCCAUGUGAAAAUUCAUCAAUAGCGGUGUUGCCAUACAGGCAUAACCGACAGUUUUGAAUUUAUAGGUACCUACUGGAAGAAAAAUCUAUCUUGCGUAAAGCAGAAAUCCCCUAACAACAGUUUUUAGUUCCCUUCCUCAUAUGCGUAUUGCCGAAUAUGUACUCCAAUAUAUUGCUGACAACAGGUAUAUGUUGAGGAUAAUAAAACACUAAAUUAUUAUGAUGAAAAUAGGGGAUAUAUUUACAACUAUGUAUUAAAACAAAAUGAUGACUCAUGAACAAUACUUUCCAUAAAUAAUAAAUGAGUAAUGGCGUGUUACAAUUCACGCAUAAUUGAAUAAAACCGCCAUAAAUGAUUGUACAAACGUUGUGUACGGAAUGAUUGUCAGCAAAACAGUUGUUUUUGGUUUUCCACAAUACAUGUUUUUGGGAGUCCAGACCAAUUGAGACUAAAAGUGCGGUCGGAUCUGAAUGAUGUUGUCUAGCCGUAAAUAACAUUACGGCAUCAUGUAAAUCAUUCAAGUCUUUCAGCAUCUUUUAGAACAAAAGUAGCCUUACCUAUUAUGUAUUUUUUUUAUAAAGUUCAGAUUAGUGUGUACUGCUUGAAAUUAUUAACUGAUCAAAUUGAUAAGGCUACUUUCGCUUUACGGCCUUAAAAAAAUACAUUUUUCAUAUUAAAAUUAGCGCACAAAAGGGGGUUCCAUACUGUAAAAUCUUAAAGUAAAAAAUGCCAUAAGAUAUUAUACUGCAGUAAAAUAAAGUUCAGUCCAAAGCUAAAACUAUAUUUUGCGAUACAUGGGCUUAUAAAAAUGUGUCGAAAACAGUGUUCAUAAGGAGAAACGAUACAUGGGCCUUUACAUUAAAUACAGGGAAGACAUUACUUAUUGUUUGAUUUGAGAAAAAUAAAAUAGACUCAAUCCGACGCAUUUUAAUUAAGCGGUACAUUUUCAGCGUGUAUUAAAAUUAAUGUUUUUUUUAUGAUGUAUUUA